ACGUGACAUAGAGACUGUAGCGGGUACACUGAAACAUCAACAUUCAAUUAACAGCUUGAAUUGUAUCGGUAACCAAACACUUUGAAAUUUUAUAAAACCACACUGAAGGCGUGUUGGCGUCAUUAGCGUCGCUACCGUUACGUCCUGAACGAACUGGCUGAGACUGUAGGGGAUUUCAGAUGAUGGCGGACAAGUUGGAGUCUUCACAGAAGGAAGGACAAGCAGUACAAGCUCCUAAAGACUCGCCUGGGGCCAGAUGGGUUUACUCCAGCUGCUUCACAUCUAUCACAACACAGAGGUGUAUGGCUUGUGUGUCUAAGAAAGCCAAGUACAGUCUAAAUUCACAGCUACGGCACAAUUUGGAGAUCAUUUUACUUUAUGCAGGAAAAUAAGAGGAAUCAUGUAGUUUCUAAAUCUGAACUAAUCCAAGGUGGACCCGUGGAUGAUAUUGGUGAAGGUGAAUGUAAAGGCCCAAUCUAAGAUCAAAUAUCACUGACCUCUGAUCUGCAAACUUUUAUUAAGUAUUUCUAAAAGUGGAGAAGCAGUUCUUGCUAAAAGGUCCUCCACUUUGUUUUCACUUCCUGUAGCUUCCCCAGCCUUUUUUCCCCCCACCGGGUGUAGAUUGUGUUGAGACUUUUAUGUUCUCCAUGUGGUCAAAUUUGUCCUAAAUGUGUCAUUCAUUUGAAAAUAAAC